AUGUUUUUUCCAUAAUUUUAUGUUAAGGUUGCCACUAGGAAGGGAUUCCCUCAUGUAAUCUACGCCAGAAUCUGGAGAUGGCCUGAUCUUCAUAAAAACGAACUCAAAAAUGUGAAGUACUGCCAAUUCGCUUUUGAUUUAAAGGCGGAUUCUGUUUGUGUGAACCCGUAUCAUUAUGAAAGAGUUGUCAGUCCUGGUAUUGAUCUUUCGGGUCUCUCCAUACAGG